UACGGAGGGAGCUAGCGUUUGUUCGGAAUUACUGGGCGUAAAGCGCACGUAGGCGGCUUUUGUAAGUUAGAGGUGAAAGCCCGGAGCUCAACUCCGGAACUGCCUUUAAGACUGCAUCGCUUGAAUCCAGGAGAGGUGAGUGGAAUUCCGAGUGUAGAGGUGAAAUUCGUAGAUAUUCGCAAGAACACCAGUGGCGAAGGCGGCUCACUGGUCCGGUACUGACGCUGAGGUGCGAAAGCGUGGGGAGCAAACAGG
rnacentral:rRNA from 1 species